rnacentral:lncRNA from 1 species
CUGAAGGAGACGGACUAACCCGGAGAAGACUGUGCGUAUUAAUCCAAUGAUUGGAUCGACAGAUGAAGAGUGAGCCCGCGAAUUAACCACACAUACGCACUUGGAGGGAAGAUAGAACUGAAGACUGAAUAAAGGGGAUUCCAAACAUAUAUUUCUUCCUCUUGGACCUAAAACAUAAGCGACUCGUUCACAACAUGGUGUGUUCAAGGAGCACAAAUAGGGGACAGAAUCAUCAACAAAAAGCGAAUGAGGAGGUGAAUUGCCACACAAUAGCCCACCCCCUUUACCCACCGGCCUCUAAUGCCAUCUGUACUGCAAAAUGGGAGACAAGAGACGCCGUGCCUAUGCCAAGAGGGGGACAAAGCCAGAUCUCCAGAGGAUGGGCACGCUGAGAGCAGAGAGAGGAGCCAUCUUGGGAGACAUUGCUGCAGAACCUAAGAUGGCUGGGCUGGCAUAAGACGUUUGGAUGUGGAGUGGUCAGUAGGGAGGGAGAUUCUGCAUACUCUAUUGGUGUUCCUGGUACAGUAUGGACCAAACCACUAAACAACCAUCAGACUGUUGGAAACCAUCUCUGUCACUGUCAUACAAAGUUUAUACAACCAGAGGACCACGACAAGGAAGAGGGAAGAUUUGUGCAAUUUAGUUUUAUUUGUGUUUUUUGUUAGCAAUAGUGUAAUGAUUCGAUUUUCUUUUUUACUACAAUUUGUUUCUAUUUGUCUUUGUUACUUCUUUUUAUAUUUAUUAUUUGAGUCUUAUUUUUGUAUAUAUUUAUAUAGUUUUAAAUACUAUGAUUAUUUGUGUUGUUCCAAAUGUCUGAAUAAAAAUUACAGUUAGUGCAGAAUGGUGCUGCUUUUUGUGUGUGGGGGGGCUGAACGGGGGGUUCACCCAGGGAGCCAUACAAGCUAGAACCGCCACUGCUUAAGAGAUACGUUGCCCCCCCCACCCAAAAAAAUAAAAUAAAUAA